UUUACCUUCGGGUGGGGAAUAACGUCUCGAAAGAGACGCUAAUACCGCAUGAUGCAGCGGCACCACAUGGUGACAGUUGUUAAAGCGGGGGAUCGCAAGACCUCGCGCCUGAAGAGAAGCCCGCGGCAGAUUAGCUAGUUGGUAAGGUAAUGGCUUACCAAGGCAACGAUCUGUAGCCGGCCUGAGAGGGCGGUCGGCCACACUGACACUGAAUAACGGGUCAG
rnacentral:rRNA from 1 species